rnacentral:lncRNA from 1 species
GUGGAUUCUUUACCGCUGAGCCACUGGGGACGCACUCAUUACACAGCUCUGGGCAAAACACAGUGGCUCAGUGGGGAAAGCACUGGUAAACGCAUUCAGGACCAGCGGCAGUGACAGGGCAUGACUCAUUCUGAGCAUGAUGCUCUGAGGUCACUGGAAGCAUCAGCAGUGUCCAAAGACUACCUCUGCUUUGUGGGUGCUUGCUGUGCUUUUCAAAAUGUCUACAAUCAUUCCUGCUGUUCUACUGCUUGACUUUGGAUGGUUAGAGAUGAAGCAACACUAAAGAUGGACUGAAGUCGGGGUGAAGAAUGAUUGGACUUGGCGUUGGGUGCAGAAAACGGAUGACACAGGGAUGGCACUUGGACUCCUGGCUCUGAUAACCAGCCACACUGGACAUUCAAAGAUUCCAGCUUUGCUCCAGCCUCCCAGCGUCCACCCCAGCUUCUCUCGGCCUAGAAGACUUCCCCCUGGGAUGUGGAGUCCACUCCGUGACACUGCCCCACCCCCAACUCCUCAGUGACACCUACCCUGUCCACUCUAUUCAGUAUCCUCAGACAUACCGCAUAGUUACUCUUUACAGUGUUUACUGCUUGUCUAUCCCACUGGAAUAUAAGCUCCCCAAGGGUAGAGGUUCUUUAUGAUUAUUUCACUGAUGUAUCCUAAGCAUCCAAUAGAUGCACGAAAAUAUUUGUUAAAUUGAAUCGUUCACAGGUUACCAACUAGCUCCUAAUGGGUUAAGUGGCAUAGAGGUUUGUUUUCCCUUAAAACAACUGCUGUGAAACAGAGAGUGCUUGUGCUGCCCUGAAUGAUGGGGGAAGAGAGGGGGUGGAGAGGGUACAGCAG